rnacentral:misc_RNA from 1 species
AAAUCCGACUUUUCAUCUCCUCCACCUAUGUCAAUCCUGUGCUCAAAGCUCUUUGGCUUGUCGCGAUCGUCACUGGUGGUCAUGGUGAACUUGGGGAUAGAGGAAUUAAUCUCACUCCCUCUCCUCGAAGAAGACUUGGCCUUGCUGCGCUUCUCAGGGAAGACUAUGGGCGAGGAGUGUUGUCCGCCAGUUGCUAUUUGCGAGCACAGCCCCAAUCGCCUAAUUGACUUCUGAGGCGUUGUCAGCCUCAAAGACGACGAAGAAAUAUCGUUUUCAUCACUGUUCCUAGAAAGGCCCUCACUCUGCUGCAUAUCUAUACAAUUCCGCCCGAAUAUUUGAACAG